CUCUCGCUAUCUCUGAUUUCACGUUCCCUCCUCUCUUCUUCUCUAAAUCGCGCUCUUCCAACAACACUCCUCUCUCACCAUCACUGAACCACAUCUCGCGUUCACUCCUCACCGAACUACAUCUUCUUCAUUGCCUUUGAGCGUCGCCUCAAACACCAAACCUCAUCUUGCUCUAGGUUUUCCUUAUCUCUUAUCUUUUUACCGAUUGUUUUGCUUUUUUUCUUCAUUUUUCACUGAUUGAGAUUGGUUUCUAUCUAUUUACACCGAUUAAAUCUUCGUUCCAACCUUUUCCACCGAUUAAAUCCCUUCCUACCUCGAACCCUAGAAUCUCCUCCGAACAAACCUUCGAAUCUAGGGUUUGCUUUUGAUUUCACCGUCUUCCGCUGUGUCCUUGUUCGCCGAAUCGAUUUUACACCAGAAUCAUGGAUUCACGACGAUCCGCCUCGACUAGGAGUCAUCACUCGUUUAUCAUUCUUUGGUGUAGUAUUCUGUGUAGUCUUAUUCAUCAUUCUCUGGAGUGGUGUGGUGAGAGAGAGUCUAUGUGUUGGUGUGCUGGUAAUAAUGGCUGAAGAGGAGCUUGUAAUGGAAAGCAUGAGGUCGUGAUUUCUUUUGUUCACUACCUCGUGGUUCUAGAAGGUGCUGAUGGGGACAAAAUGCCAGGCUAAGUUGUUUGCUGGUGGGGAUGAUGCUUGGAAAGAACGGGAAGAUGUUGUCCUGGCCCUUGGUGCCAUAGGUGAAGGUUGCAUCAAUGGUCUUUAUCCUCAUUUGUUGGAGGUAAUUUUUAAUUUUCUGGUUCUAAUUACUCAAUCCAGAAGCAACUGGUUUGAUUGGAGGAAAAAAUGUUGAGCUUGUUUUAAAAAUUUGAUUAAUGUAUGCUUGAAUGAUUAUAUAACUUAAUGUAUGCAUGCUUGUGUCUUUGAAUAUGUCAUUAAUUGCAUUUUAGAGUUAAUAAUGGCUACUUCCUCGAAAUUUUGAUUUGUUUUAGAACUUAGAGAGAUAUUUGUGAGGUGUGUAGCAGUGCUGUUAUAAUCUCAUUAUUAUCAUGUUCCAGUUCAGUAAUGUCAUACCCCUGCUCUGUUGUAUUUCAUGGUGUUAGGAUAUAUUGCUUCUAUGUGAUAUUGUGGACUCUAACUUUUGGAAAGAAUAGAAAGUUCUUCAUUUUAGGUUCUUGAAGGUCUUAUAGUCCAAAUAUGCUCUAUGGUCCAGAAUCAAGGUUUAAUCCCCCUAAUCUGGUCACAGGAAACUUCACGUCUAAAUCUUAAGCA